rnacentral:rRNA from 1 species
CACGUAGGGGGCAAGCGUUGUCCGGAUUUAUUGGGCGUAAAGAGCUCGUAGGCGGUUUCGUAAGUCGGGUGUGAAAACUUCAGGCUCAACCUGGAGACGCCACCCGAUACUGCGAUGACUAGAGUCCGGUAGGGAGUGUGGAAUUCCUGGUGUAGCGGUGAAAUGCGCAGAUAUCAGGAGGAACACCAACGGCGAAGGCAGCACUCUGGCCGGAACUGACGCUGAGGAGCGAAAGCGUGGGUAGCGAACAGG